UGUUGGCGAACCAGGUUGGAAGUAGAAUAAUGGCUCGUUAUCGAAAGAGUAUUUAAUUCCCCCUCAAUCUAUAAAGACAGAGGCUAAAGCAGAAAUGCAGUCAUAUUCUGCAGCCGCGUCCUGAUUUUGAGCCGUUUUGAGGAGGCUUAGUGGAUCUACUGGCAGAAAUACACUCACAUGAGGUGUUUUUUUUUAAUCUUAAUAGCAAAACCUGAUACCAUGACUUAGUAAAAACCGACCAGGUUGUCUGAAAAGAUCAAGGUCGCUAAUGGAUUUUUCUCCCCCAGAGACCGAAAGAAAUAUGAAAAAUGUUUGGGGAUGUCUUAAACAUUCUAACUACGGAUGAAAAAAAUAUAUAAAAACGUGGAAUAGAACAAGAUUUCCGGUUGUGCAAAUAGUAAAUACAUGUCGACUUGUCACAUCGGAUACUUUUAAACACAAGCUUUACCUGCCUGUUUUUGCAGCUAGAUUGACAUCUCCGUGACUUUGAUCUUUAAAUGUUAAAGCAAGGCAGACGAGAGAUCAGUGUGCGAGAGAGAGAGAGCUCUUGUUGGGCAAUUCCCUUUACUCUAUCUUCAUUGUGUCUUACUAAUUUUGAACAGUUUCCUAUUGACAAUUCUUCUCCAUACACCUGCAAGCAAUUUGCAGACCUCAUGACAAACGUAGUUCCGAAUUUCAAAGAUGGAAGCACACCUACUUUGGUUUAGUGCUUCUUUCUCAAUGCUGUUCAAAUUUGGCUUUCACUGCUACCUCUUUUGUUAAUGCAAAGAUUCCCCGGGCGAAAAAAAUUGCUCAUAAUUACCCCAAUGAUACGAAACUACAUUAGAAUAAAUAAACCCAAAAUUACUGUAAUUAUAGUCCGUUUGAUGGCCUCGGCUUGUAAUCAAGUAGAGAAUACAGUGCAAUAAUGCCGAACCUCUUGGUUGCAGCUGUAUGCGCAUUUGGAGUUCUUGGCAGAAUACAUUCAUUUGUUGCUCGCUAAGCUGCAAGCUUAUUCUCAGAAAAGUUUUGUCUAAAAUGCUGCACACCUCACUUUUCAAAUCUUAGCUCUCCCAAAGUUAUAAUUGUUAAACUUGAACAUUAGACUUAACUGUACGCGUUUUAAUUUGUGCAACAUAU